rnacentral:rRNA from 1 species
AGGACGAACGCUGGCGGCGUGCUUAACACAUGCAAGUCGAGCGGAAAGGCCCUUCGGGGUACUCGAGCGGCGAACGGGUGAGUAACACGUGAGUAAUCUGCCCCUAGCUCUGGGAUAGCUCCGGGAAACCGGGAUUAAUACCAGAUACGACCACUUUAGACAUCUUCUGUGGUGGAAAGAACUUCGGCUGGGGAUGGACUCGCGGCCUAUCAGCUUGUUGGUGGGGUAAUGGCCUACCAAGGCGACGACGGGUA